rnacentral:misc_RNA from 1 species
GCAAACAAACACAGCAGACAUGCUAGAUUUGGCUGUUGUGUACAUCAAAGAUCUUCAAAAGCAAUACAAGGUAUUAAAGAAAAAGAGAAAAACCAAUCAAUGUAGCAAAUAAUUUUAUCAUUUUUCAUUCACAGUUGUUUUUUCCAUGCAGACUCUCAGUGACAACAGAGCCAACUGCAAGUGUUUGAGUAAACAGAAGCCAGUGCAAAAUGAAAUUGUUUGACAUGCUUCUGUACAGAGAAUAAGGGAAGUGGAUAGAUAGGAACAUGUUCUUAUUUAUCUUUUUCUGUGAUGUGAACAAGUGUCUAGAAUCAAGAUAUGUUCUUCUUUCCAUGCUCAAGCAUUGCAAGUUUGGUAGAAUUUUCACUGUUAGAUUAUGAUAUGGAAGGUAACAAAGCUUCCAAUUACACAAUACCUGAAAUAAAAGAGAGAAAUGUACAGUGCAUGUUCUUGUAAUUUAUCUUGUUCUCUAUAUGCAAGUUACGUGUUGUUUAGCCUGGCUUGAUCUAAUAACUGAGGAUAUAUUAUCACCUAACAGAAUCAAGUCCGACUCUUUGUAGAAGUAAAUUUGAGAUGUGAAUUUUACUUCUUAUCUUAAUGUCCAUCUAAGAAUUUAGAUUGUAGUUAUUUGGACAAGAUCAUUAAUUUUUUCAACCUAUAUGUACAGUUGUCCAUGGGGCACAGUUCUACAAAACAUUGUCUAGG